CAACAGGCUACGGCUCUGAAAACCCAAUCAUUUUACCGACAAUACAUUGCUGUUAGAAAUGCAAUUGUUGUUACUGGAAUAACACAGGAAUGACGAAAGACGGUUGUAAACGGCUAACUACAUAAUUAUAUUGCAUAUACGCUCUGAUCCAACGAAUUGGGUUGACUGCUUAUUUUAUACGUAUUCAUCCCUAUUUUGUGGGAAAUUACCGUUGAAUUGUUUCAAUGGGCAACCAAUAGUUAAUAUAUAAUUCGCAUUUUUUUGUAUUAUUAGUACAUAAAAAGAGGGUACAGUAAAGUAAAAACUGACAUUAAGUUUUUUUAUUUGCCCUACUGUCAAAAAUAUUUGCACACUUGUGACGAGAGUAAGUAGCCACAUAAAACAAGAAUAGCCGUGUAUUUCGUAUCUUGACAACAUAUUAAUAUUUGUUGUUCUGGUAUUCUUUUAUAUUGCGAUUAAGCUUAUAAAGUUACAGAAUACAUGAGUUACAACGAAGUUGAACUAGAAAUGGCGAGUCGUAAUACACCUGAUAGUGUGACAGAAGACUCUCAGCGGAAGAGUGAAAAACCUUCAAGUAGUGCCUUCAAGCAACAGAAACUCCAAGCAUGGCAACCCAUACUUACAGCAGGAACUGUUUUACCAUCUUUCUUUAUAAUUGGGUUGGCAUUUAUUCCAAUCGGAAUAGGUUUACUUGUAUCUUCUAAUAAGGUUCAAGAGUUUCAACUAGAUUAUACUUACUGUUUAAAUGAAAAGGGAGAAGAAUGCGCUGAAGUCAUCAAGAAAAAUUUUAGAAACAAAUGCAUCUGUAAAAUUGAAUUCAAUCUUACUGAAGAUUUUGAGCGAAAUGUUUUUGUGUAUUAUGGACUUACCAACUAUUAUCAGAAUCACAGACGAUACGUCAAAUCAAGAGAUGACCAACAGCUUCUGGGGAAAGUCACUGACACAUUAUCUGCAGACUGUAAACCAUUUGCAUAUGUUGAAAACAGCACCUACAAGACACCAAUUGCUCCUUGUGGAGCCAUAGCCAACAGUUUGUUCAAUGAUACUAUAACACUAAAGCUUCAAGGUAAUAAAGAAGUGGAAGUUCCACUGUUGAACACAGGAAUUGCUUGGCCUACAGAUACCACUGUUAAGUUUCAGAAUCCACCAGGAGAUGUGAGUACAGGAGAAGCCUUUACGAAAACUGCUAAACCACUCAACUGGGACAGACCUGUUUGGCAGCUAGACCCUUCUCACUCAGAAAAUAAUGGAUACCAGAAUGAAGAUCUGAUUGUAUGGAUGCGUAAUGCAGCCUUGCCUACUUUCCGCAAGCUGUACCGCAGGGUUGAUCACGAGAAGGAAGGAUUCAAGAAUCAUCUUCCUAAAGGCAUAUAUAACUUGAUUGUCCAGUACACUUAUCCUGUGACCUCUUUCAAAGGGACCAAACGAUUGAUAUUAUCCAACACCACCUGGUUGGGUGGAAAGAACCCAUUUUUAGGAAUAACCUAUAUUGUUGUUGGUAGUAUUUGCCUUAUCCUAUCAAUUAUGUUUCUAGUAAUCCACAAAAAAUUUGGCAAAAGCCCUCAUGACGUAAUGGGAAACAUUACUGAAAGAACUCCUUACUGACAUCAUACAUCUGUUUUAAUUCCAAGAUCCUGGUUGGAUUUAGAAGAACUGAUCAUUACCUUCACAAUCCAUUAUUUUGAAUGUGUAGAGAAUUAGCCACUUUUAGAUAGAUUUUUAAGUCACUUUGCUGAAAAGAAAAUUAAAAUUGAGCUUCAAAUCGGUUAGGGUGCAAGUAUCCGAAACACCGUGGGAAGAUGAAACCCGCAGAGCUGACCUCUAGCGACUUAUGGAUUUUGGAAUUUCAUCAUGUAGUUGGAAUAAACAUCUGAAUAUCAAUGUUUAUAAGACUGCAUUCAUGUGCAGAAUUUUAAAAUAAAAACAGAAAACUUAGAGAAAAUAAUUGUUUGUUUAUGAAACGAACUACAUAUCACAUAAAAAUUAAGAUUAAUUUUAAUUCUGUUUUUUUUUGUUUUCCUUACCUGUCUAGUCAAAUCGGUUGAGAUUAUUUUAUCUCUUUGUUGUACUUAACUUUACAUUUAAUUAUGCGUUGGUAAUUUUUUCACCAGUUAUUUUUUAUUU
rnacentral:misc_RNA from 1 species